rnacentral:piRNA from 1 species
CAGAGAAACGAUGACCCCAGAAACAU